rnacentral:rRNA from 1 species
CGGACGGGUGAGUAACGCGUGAGUAACCUGCCUUACACAAGGGAUAGCCGUUGGAAACGACGAAUAAUAACCCUAUGACAUAAACUCCUCGCAUGAGGAGCUUAUCAAAGAUUUAUCGGUGUAAGAUGGACUCGCGUCUGAUUAGCUAGUUGGUGAGGUAACGGCCCACCAAGGCGACGAUCAGUAGCCGGCUUGAGAGAGUGUACGGCCACAUUGGGACUGAGACACGGCCCAGACUCCUACGGGAGGCAGCAGGC